rnacentral:rRNA from 1 species
UGGGGAUGCCUGGCUGAACUGGGAGGCCAGCUGAUCUUAGGCUACCUGCCGGACAGAGACCGAUAGCGCACAUGUAGAGUGAUCGAGAGAUGAAGAGCACUUUGGAAAGAGGGCUAAACAGUACGUGAAAUUGCUGAAAGGGAAGCGCCUGCGACCAGACUCGCGCCAGGCGGAUCAUCCGGCGUUCUCGCCGGUGCACUCCGUCCGGUGUGGGCCACAUCGGUUUUGCUGGGGGGAUAAAAGCGGGGGGAACGUACUCCCUACGGGGAGUGGUAUAGCCCUNCGGCCAAUACCUCUGGUGGGACCGAGGACGCGCGCAAGGAUGCUGGCGUAAUGGCGGCGGCGACCGCUUGGAACACGGACCAAGGAGUCGAACUUUGUGCGAGUGGUUGGGUGGAAAACCUUACGCGCAGUGGAGGGCAACGCAGGUGGGAGCCUUGGGGCACCAUUGACCGGUCCUGAAGUUUCGGAUGGGAUUGAGUAAGAAGCCAGUUGGUCGGACCCGAAGAAGGGGGAACUAUGCCUGGAUGGGGGGAAGCCGGAGGAAACUUUGGGGGAGGGUGCCACGGGUCUGNACGGGCAAAUGGCGGCNAAAUUGGGGGCGG